CAUCUAAGUACCUGAAGGAAGAGAAAGAAAUUCGAUUCCGUAAGUAGCGGCGAGCGAACGCGGAUUAGCCCAAACCAAUACAGUUUUCUUUAUUGGGGUUGCGGACAUAUCAUAACGAAGAGGUAUCAUAAUUGAAGAGGUUUGGAAAGACCCACCACAGAAGGUAAUAGUCCUGUAUGUUAAACGAGAAGACUUCAGAUAUGAUCCA
rnacentral:rRNA from 1 species